rnacentral:lncRNA from 1 species
AAUUUGAAAUCUUUGAUAUCACUUAUUGGUAUAUGAAUAUUGUCUUUGAUGGAUUAAUAACAUUUUUCUCAAAUAAAAUAGUCAGCUUGGAUGGGUAAAAACACUGAUGUACAAAUUGUUAGGCAUGAAAGGGAAAUUAUUUUCGCAGCUUGGCUUCUUUGAUCUCAUGUGUGUUUUGACAAAUUUGUUAUAUAUGGACUGACUUCAACAUAUUCAAUUAAAUACACACAACACAACUGUCUAAAUAAAAUAAAAAUCAGGGCAACAUACCCGGGGCGAACAGGUAUCAGUGCGAAUGGUCUCAGGGCGAAACGGAACUAGGGCGAACAGUAACUAGGGCGAACCGAAAUCAUGGCGGAUGGACCCGGAUUC